rnacentral:rRNA from 1 species
UACGAAGGGGGCUAGCGUUGUUCGGAUUCACUGGGUUUAAAGGGUGCGUAGGUGGGUUGGUAAGUCAGUGGUGAAAUCUCCAGGCUUAACUUGGAAACUGCCAUUGAUACUAUCAAUCUUGAAUACCGUGGAGGUCAGCGGAAUAUGUCAUGUAGCGGUGAAAUGCUUAGAUAUGACAUAGAACACCAAUUGCGAAGGCAGCUGGCUACACGAAUAUUGACACUGAUGCACGAAAGCGUGGGGAUCAAACAGG